rnacentral:rRNA from 1 species
CCUACGGGGUGCAGCAGUGAGGAAUAUUGGUCAAUGGACGAGAGUCUGAACCAGCCAAGUAGCGUGAAGGAUGACUGCCCUAUGGGUUGUAAACUUCUUUUAUAAAGGAAUAAACCGAGGCACGUGUGCAUUUUUGCAUGUACUUUAUGAAUAAGGAUCGGCUAACUCCGUGCCAGCAGCCGCGGUAAUACGGAGGAUCCGAGCGUUAUCCGGAUUUAUUGGGUUUAAAGGGAGCGUAGGUGGGUUGUUAAGUCAGUUGUGAAAGUUUGCGGCUUAACCGUAAAAUUGCAAUUGAUACUGGCAGUCUGGAGUACAGUUGAGGUAGGCGGAAUUCGUGGUGUAGCGGUGAAAUGCUUAGAUAUCACGAAGAACCCCGAUUGCGAAGGCAGCUUACUAAACUGUGACUGACAUUGAUGCUCGAAAGUGUGGGUAUCAAACAGGAUUAGAUACCCGGGUAGUC